GUAGUUGAUCCUGGCUCAGGACGACGCUGGCGGCGUGCUUAACACAUGCAAGUCGAGCGAUGAAGCUUCCUUCGGGAAGUGGAUAGCGGCGGACGGGUGAGUAACACGUGGGUAACCUACCUCAAAGUGGGGGAUAGCCUCCCGAAAGGGAGAUUAAUACCCCAUAAUAUAAGAAAAUCGCAUGAUUAUCUUAUCAAAGAUUUAUCGCUUUGAGAUGGACCCGCGGCGCAUUAGCUAGUUGGUGGGGUAACGGCCUACCAAGGCAACGAUGCGUAGCCGACCUGAGAGGGUGAUCGGCCACAUUGGAACUGAGACACGGUCCAGACUCCUACGGGAGGCAGCAGUGGGGAAUAUUGCGCAAUGGGGGAAACCCUGACGCAGCAACGCCGCGUGGGUGAUGAAGGUCUUCGGAUGUAAAGCCCUGUUUUCUGGGACGAUAAUGACGGUACCAGAGGAGGAAGCCACGGCUAACUACGUG
rnacentral:rRNA from 1 species